GACCGCGCAGCUCAGUUGGAAGAGCAUUGGGCUAGUAUUCCAAAGGUCGUAGGUUCGAAUCCCACCGUGGUCU
rnacentral:tRNA from 1 species